rnacentral:lncRNA from 1 species
CUUGCAAGUUAGACGUUCUAACUUUACUGAUCUGAGCUUGAGGAUGAUAUUGUAAGCCACACAUGCGUCUAGCCUCUAGGAGUCGUCCACAUGAGCCCAUGAAUCACGAUCAGAAGUCCUGGUCCAGAAAAUCAGUAUAGUAUGCUAGUACUGCGCUGAUCCUUCUUCGAUGGUCGAUGAGAUACCUCCUUCUUCUUGAUUAAGAUUCUUCUAAAGAUAAGAAGUAGGAGAAGAAGUUUUAGAUCUAAAACACUCUCAGAAGACUCAAGAUGG